UUACCUACCCUUGACAUGGUCGGAAUCCUGCUGAGAGGCGGGAGUGCUCGAAAGAGAACCGGCGCACAGGUGCUGCAUGGCUGUCGUCAGCUCGUGUCGUGAGAUGUUGGGUUAAGUCCCGCAACGAGCGCAACCCUUGUCCUUAGUUGCUACGCAAGAGCACUCUAAGGAGACUGCCGGUGACAAACCGGAGGAAGGUGGGGAUGACGUCAAGUCCUCAUGGCCCUUAUGGGUAGGGCUUCACACGUCAUACAAUGGUCGGAACAGAGGGUUGCCAACCCGCGAGGGGGAGCUAAUCCCAGAAAACCGAUCGUAGUCCGGAUUGCACUCUGCAACUCGAGUGCAUGAAGCUGGAAUCGCUAGUAAU
rnacentral:rRNA from 1 species